AAAAAGGGUUUCAAUCAUGAGAUGCACACAUAGGACAGCUUGAUUGCUCUACAUGUGAAAUCAACAUCAAGAGAUGUCGGAAGCAUGAUUUUUUGGUACCUGGGCAGCUAGUGAUUGUUGAUCCUGGCACCCAC